rnacentral:rRNA from 1 species
ACCCCGGGAAACCGGGGUUAAUACCGGAAUAGGUGACCUUUUUGCAUGGAGGGGUCAUGAAAGGCGGCGGAAGCCGUCGCUUACGGAGGGGCCCGCGGCGCAUUAGCUAGUUGGUGAGGGAAGGGCUCACCAAGGCGACGAUGCGUAGCCGGCCUGAGAGGGUGAACGGCCACACUGGGACUGAGACACGGCCCAGACUCCUACGGGAGGCAGCAGUAGGGAAUCUUCCGCAAUGGACGGAAGUCUGACGGAGCAACGCCGCGUGAGUGAGGAAGGCCUUCGGGUCGUAAAGCUCUGUUGUUCGUGAAGAAGGGGUUGGCCAGGAAAUGGGCCGACAUUGACGGUAGCGAACCAGAAAGCCCCGGCUAACUACGUGCCAGCAGCCGCGGUAACACGUAGGGGGCAAGCGUUGUCCGGAAUGAUUGGGCGUAAAGGGCGCGCAGGCGGCCUCUUAAGUCUGAUGUGAAAGCCCACGGCUCAACCGUGGAGGGACAUUGGAAACUGGGGGGCUUGAGUGCAGGAGAGGGGAGUGGAAUUCCACGUGUAGCGGUGAAAUGCGUAGAGAUGUGGAGGAACACCAGUGGCGAAGGCGGCUCUCUGGCCUGUGACUGACGCUGAGGCGCGAAAGCGUGGGGAGCGAACAGGAUUAGAUACCCUGGUAGUCCACGCCGUAAAC